rnacentral:rRNA from 1 species
UACAGAGGGUGCAAGCGUUGUUCGGAAUUAUUGGGCGUAAAGGGAGUGUAGGCGGUUUGGUAAGUCUUCUGUGAAAAUCUGCGGGCUUAGCCUGCAAAGUGCAGAGGAAACUGUCAGACUUGAGUAUUGGAGAGGGCAGGGAAUACCCAGUGUAGAGGUGAAAAUUCGUAGAGAUUGGGUGGAACACCAGUGGCGAAGGCGCCUGCCUGGCUGAUUACUGACGCUGAGACUACGAAAGCAUGGGGGAGCAAACAGG